rnacentral:rRNA from 1 species
GUAGAAUUCCAGGUGUAGCGGUGAAAUGCGUAGAGAUCUGGAGGAUUACCGGUGGCGAAGGCGGCCCCCUGGACAAAGACUGACGCUCAGGUGCGAAAGCGUGGCGAGCAAACAGGAUUAGAUACCCUGGUAGUCCACGCUGUAAACGAUGUCGACUUGGAGGUUGUGCGCUUGAGGCGUGGCUUCCGGAGCUAACGCGUUAAGUCGACCGCCUGGGGAGUACGGCCGCAAGGUUAAAACUCAAAUGAAUUGACGGGGGUACGCACAAGCGGUGGAGCAUGUGGUUUAAUUCGAUGCAACGCGAAGAACCUUACCUACUCUUGACAUCCACGGAAUUUGGCAGAGAUGCCUUAGUGCCUUCGGGAACCGUGAGACAGGUGCUGCAUGGCUGUCGUCAGCUCGUGUUGUGAAAUGUUGGGUUAAGUCCGGCAACGAGCGCAACCCUUAUCCUUUGUUGCCAGCGGUUCGGCCGGGAACUCAAAGGAGACUGCCAGUGAUAAACUGGAGGAAGGUGGGGAUGACGUCAAGUCAUCAUGGCCCUUACGAGUAGGGCUACACACGUGCUACAAUGGCAUAUACAAAGAGAAGCGACCUCGCGAGAGCAAGCGGACCUCAUAAAGUAUGUCGUAGUCCGGAUCGGAGUCUGCAACUCGACUCCGUGAAGUCGGAAUCGCUAGUAAUCGUGGAUCAGAAUGCCAC